UUCUUCACUUUGUUAUAGACAGAUCUAAACAAACCGUUCUAACUGUUACUAACAAAACCCUCGCUCUACUUCAGAGAAUAAUGACGAAUUUGACUAACCUAUCUAGUUAGCCCCCUGGGUUCUUAACUAACUCUACCUUAAAGUUCUUCCUGUUAACUAACCCGGCCUGGAGAGUCAACCUCUUGUGUUAACUCUCACAAGAAAUCAAACUGCUGAUCUUUUCCAGCACUCUACUCUCUCCCUGUGAACCCAGUUGUUUUAAACCCUACACCUUCACACACCAGCUCUCUCCGAACUCUCCACUUCCCACCUUCUCCUCUUCUCUUCCUCUCGGCCCCUCCCCACUCCUCUGGCCAAUCCUAGGAGCCUCCUCACUCCUCCCCUUUUCCAACCUUCCUCACUCAAGAUGGCUGCCUUGCUGGCAUUCUCUCACAACAUGGAGGCCUGCCAUACUGUUAUCCAGGCUCCCUUUCCGGCCUACCAGGAGACGAAACGUAGGUACACCAUUACGACUCGGAGACAAAGCAUCAGUCUAUGGAAUAUCAACACAAAGACUCGCCCCAGAAAAAAAAUUCAAGACACAGCCCUCAGCUGGAAAAAUCAUGACAACAGUGUUCUGGGAUGCAGAUGGUGUUAUCUAUGUUGAUUUCCUUGAAUGUGGAACAACAAUAAAUUCAGAAUGUUACAUCACAAUGCUGCAAACUUUGAAACAACGGCUAACAAGGGUCCGAAGGAAAAGGGAAAUGUUUUCCUGCAGCAUGACAAUGUCAGACCACACACUUUACAUGCCACCACAGCAGAACUGGAUCUCACCACCGUACAGCAUCCUCCAUACAGUCCAGAUUUAGCACCAUCUGACUUCCAUCUGUUCCCGAUAAUGAAAGAAGAUCUGCGGGGACAUCAUUAUGCUUCUGAUGAAGACGUUGAGAGAACUGUGAGACACUGGUUGCGGAAACAGAGUGUCGACUUCUUCCGUGACGGCUUCAGAAAACUUGUUCAUCGUUGGCAGAAAUGUAUCCAAUUGUCUGCUGAUUAUGUGGAAAUGUCAAUAGUGAUAGUUAAAGAGCACAUUCUAAGGAUUAUUUCUGUGUUUGAUUUAUUAAAAUAUUCCCAUCCAAACCCAAGUAACGAAGAUGGAGGCAUUACUUUUCAUUCAACCCUCCUAUAUGUGACAUCAAAUUGUUGCCUUUGUAAGGCCACUCUGAGUCCCCUUCAGAGUGAGGACAGGAUACAAAUGUGAUAAAUAAAUAAAUAAUACGGCAUUGAAUAAUUUGUUUCUAAGGACAAAUAAAUCGUGCUUUGCACAGACAAACACAUAUAAUUUUUGAAAAAGGCAGUCCUACAGUUCUGCAUUUACAACUUUAAAAUACUUUGGUGAUUUUUGAAUGGUGCAAAUAAUGCAUACUAAAGAAAAUGCAUCUGCCUUAUGAGUACAAAUGAAAAUUCAGAAAUGUAAUACUGAAGGUUAUACCUUUCACUUAUGAAUUUAUUGAAUCCAAAAAAUAAGAAAAAAAUAAAAUUUCAAAAAUGAUUAUUUAAUGCUUUAUCAUUGUAAAUCCAAAUACAUCACCAAUACCUGUCUUUUUAUAAUUCCCAAUUUUAUCACUCAACUAAAAUGAUAGAAAAAAAGAAUUUGGCUCUGUUCCCUUUUAUUCUUUGUUGUGUUGAUUUGAAGAUGCUACUUGUCAAAAGGGACAAAUGUGGAAUUUAUCCUCUCAGGACUGAACAAGAAAGUGAGACAUAUCUUCCAUUUUCUCCAGAGUGAAACUUCAGUUUCUUGGGAUUCUGAAUAUAACUUAGAAUCCCAAAGGGACUUGUUAAGAAGUUUUGUUGUUUGAGUCUAAAUGUGAUCCUGUGGAGUUGGUGGUGUUAUUGUCAAUGCCGUGCCACCAAGGAGGAAACUGUUGUACAUCUACAUCCACAGAGAGACUGUUUUGAUCAGUAAUAACUGUAAGACUGUUAUUUCUAUGGAGCAAUUAAUACAGUUUAUGGCUCAUGUUGUUCAAUGGAAAGCAACAAGUUACACACAAAUUGUCAACCAUUACGUCAGAGAGCCAGGGAAUGAUGAAAUUAGGUUUCAAAAGUUCAGUGAUAAAUGGGAAUGAGGUUACUCUUUUGGUUCAACAACUCAUGUUUUACACCUAAAUUCUAAAGAUACUUUAAAAUAGCAAAUUUAGUCAUUUUGAGCAGAAUAUUCCAGUUCCAUUGCAAUUCUCUUACAAAUCUUAAUACUUUUUUUAAAGAGAUAAUGCUUUGUCACCACUCAAAUCAGGUUGGUGAAAUACUCUUGAGUGUUGGACUGGACUCUGGAAGACCAGGCCUGAAUCCUCCAUCCGCCUUGGAAAACUCACUUGGUGGCAGUGGGCAGGUUAUAUAGUUUCUCAGCUCUAGAGGAAGGCAAUGUAAAUGUCCUCUGAAUAAAAUUUGCCAAGAAAACCCUAUUAGAGUUCACCAUUAGUUGACUUAACGGCAUGUAAUAAUGACAAGAUGCUAUCUAUUUAAUACAUUUGUCAUAUAUAGAGCUCCAGCAAUAGUCUUUCUUUUCUACAGCAUUCCAUCUGAAAAACAUUAUUGUAUUUCCGUUGCAUUGCAUCUCCCCCCACAUUAAUGGUAACAAAUAAUAGAGGGUUUUUUUGCACUGAGUUGCACAAUGAAUUGAUUUCAGCUUUCCAAGCUCUGUACGUAACCCAAAUAUCCGCUGUUUAUGUGAGAUGAACAAUUACUCAAACUAAUCUGAAUCAAUAUGAAUGUGGACUCUUGUCCAUUGUUUUUGUUAUUGAAGACCCCCCAACCCCACCCGUAAUGAAAAGGAGAUAUGAUUCAGUUCUCAAGGGAGUUAUAGUUUCCCAAGGACGGGAGGCCAUAUGAAUGGGAACGAGCUAUGACCUGCCUCCUGACCAGUCAAAAGCCUGGGAAACGCUGGCUGGCUUCUGGCACUGGCCAAUCAGAGGAAAGGGAGAGAGUUUCAAAACGUAGCAAUGUUAAUAAAUAAAAACUCUUGUGUAUAAAAACGCUUGCUUAUGAUUAUGUUUUUACACUUGUGCCCUUUGAGCACCAAUCGUUGUACAAGUGUCCCUUCUGCACAGAUUGAAUAAAGGAUAUGUCGUUUGCCUUCAA